rnacentral:rRNA from 1 species
AGGACUAACGCUGGCGGCGUGCCUAACACAUGCAAGUCGAACGAGGGGUAGCAAUACCCCUAGUGGCAGACGGGUGAGUAACACGUAGUCAACCUACCUCUUAAUGGGGGAUAACUAGCCGAAAGGUUAGCUAAUACCGCAUACGAUCGUCGAGUGGCAUCACACGACGAUGAAAGGAGCAAUCCGUUGAGAGAGGGGACUGCGUCCCAUUAGUUAGUUGGUGGGGUAAUGGCCUACCAAGACUCCGAUGGGUAGCUGGCUUGAGAGAGCGACCAGCCACACUGGAACUGAGACACGGUCCAGACUCCUACGGGAGGCAGCAGUGAGGAAUUUUCCGCAAUGGGGGAAACCCUGACGGAGCGACGCCGCGUGUGGGGAAGAAGGCCUUCGGGUCGUAAACCACUGUCGAGGGGGACGAUAUUGACGGUACCCCUGGAGGAAGCCCCGGCUAACUACGCGCCAGCAGCCGC